UGGGACCUUUGAGGAGCGUUUCUGGGCGGAGCUUGGUAAGGUCCAUUUCCUUCAAUCUGAGGCAGACCACAGCGUCUCCAGAAAAAACUGAAGAAAAACUAACAUUUAACCAACUUCGCUCUGCUUGUAACCCGUUCAUUCAUCCAGCCACUGGGGGCGCUGUUACGAAACGACUGUCUGUGUAUGGCUGGAGUGGAGCUGAAGCUGUUUACCUUUAACGUCCCAAAACUUGAUGAAAACAUGACAAGGAGAUUCCAACUUCGGCGAGGAGAGGAAGUCGGCCUGCAGGAGGAUGUGAGUCUUGGUAAAUCAGAGGAAGCUGAAGCUGAACCUGCUGCUGUACAAACAUGACGGAUCUCCAGAAAAACAAGUUUUUCUCCCUGCUGGUUGUGUUUCCAUCUCUUCACGUGAAGCACAUAAAGCUCCUGUUUUCCUGUAAAACACCCACCUGACACCAGGUAACAAGAACCAGGUCACACACAGGAAGUGCACACACACAUAUGCAUGUAUGUGUGUGUGUGUGUGUGUGUUAGGUAUGCAGGGCCAGAGGACAUCUGCCUGGCCCGUGUCUGCAAUCCCAAGUAGCCUGAGUCUAACGGCUCCAUAAUGAGGGUACAAAGCGCUCUGGGCCGGGUGUGAGCGCUCGCUCGCCGUAAAACGAGGACACAAAGCAGUCAUUAGGUGUGUUGGUGUGUGUGUGUUGGCAGCUUUUAUUGAUGCAAAAAGCAAACGAGAAAGUGGAAAUGACAAGAAACGGGAGUUUUUAGACUCCAUGUACGUCUCCUGUGUUUGUUCAGACUUAGUUUCCCCCUCAGGCCUUCAGCAGACGUGGAGCCGGCCUGAACUUCAUGUCUGGGUUCAUAUCGGUGAACUGAAGCUGCGGCUGAAACACACGCUGCCUGCGUGUUUCAGCCAGGAUGCUGCGCUCUCAGCUGUGUGCUCAGGGUCAGCAGGAGGUCAGCAGGAGGUCAGAGUCCGUCUCUUGUAGCCUGAUAGACGAGUUCUGAUUAACGCCUGACAGUCUGAGCGACUCGGUUCGAUUUGAGGCCAAAACGGAAACAUUGGUUCAACCGAACCCUCUGAGCAACCUGUUCCCCUCCUGGCCUGUGGGGGCGCUGCACCAAGAACCACUGAAGGAAACGACACAAA